rnacentral:rRNA from 1 species
UCAGAAGUGCGAAUGCUGACAUAAGUAACGAUAAAGCGGGUGAAAAGCCCGCUCGCCGGAAGACCAAGGGUUCCUGUCCAACGUUAAUCGGGGCAGGGUGAGUCGACCCCUAAGGCGAGGCCGAAAGGCGUAGUCGAUGGGAAACGGGUUAAUAUUCCCGUACUUGGUGUUACUGCGAAGGGGGGACGGAGAAGGCUAUGUUGGCCGGGCGACGGUUGUCCCGGUUUAAGCGUGUAGGCUGGUUUUCCAGGCAAAUCCGGAAAAUCAAGGCUGAGGCGUGAUGACGAGGCACUACGGUGCUGAAGCAACAAAUGCCCUGCUUCCAGGAAAAGCCUCUAAGCAUCAGGUAACAUCAAAUCGUACCCCAAACCGACACAGGUGGUCAGGUAGAGAAUACCAAGGCGCUUGAGAGAACUCGGGUGAAGGAACUAGGCAAAAUGGUGCCGUAACUUCGGGAGAAGGCACGCUGACAUGUAGGUGAAGUGAUUUACUCAUGGAGCUGAAGUCAGUCGAAGAUACCAGCUGGCUGCAACUGUUUAUUAAAAACACAGCACUGUGCAAACACGAAAGUGGACGUAUACGGUGUGACGCCUGCCCGGUGCCGGAAGGUUAAUUGAUGGGGUCAGCGCAAGCGAAGCUCCUGAUCGAAGCCCCGGUAAACGGCGGCCGUAACUAUAACGGUCCUAAGGUAGCGAAAUUCCUUGUCGGGUAAGUUCCGACCUGCACGAAUGGCGUAAUGAUGGCCAGGCUGUCUCCACCCGAGACUCAGUGAAAUUGAACUCGCUGUGAAGAUGCAGUGUACCCGCGGCAAGACGGAAAGACCCCGUGAACCUUUACUAUAGCUUGACACUGAACAUUGAGCCUUGAUGUGUAGGAUAGGUGGGAGGCUUUGAAGUGUGGACGCCAGUCUGCAUGGAGCCGACCUUGAAAUACCACCCUUUAAUGUUUGAUGUUCUAACGUGGACCCGUAAUCCGGGUUGCGGACAGUGUCUGGUGGGUAGUUUGACUGGGGCGGUCUCCUCCUAAAGAGUAACGGAGGAGCACGAAGGUUGGCUAAUCCUGGUCGGACAUCAGGAGGUUAGUGCAAUGGCAUAAGCCAGCUUGACUGCGAGCGUGACGGCGCGAGCAGGUGCGAAAGCAGGUCAUAGUGAUCCGGUGGUUCUGAAUGGAAGGGCCAUCGCUCAACGGAUAAAAGGUACUCCGGGGAUAACAGGCUGAUACCGCCCAAGAGUUCAUAUCGACGGCGGUGUUUGGCACCUCGAUGUCGGCUCAUCACAUCCUGGGGCUGAAGUAGGUCCCAAGGGUAUGGCUGUUCGCCAUUUAAAGUGGUACGCGAGCUGGGUUUAGAACGUCGUGAGACAGUUCGGUCCCUAUCUGCCGUGGGCGCUGGAGAACUGAGGGGGGCUGCUCCUAGUACGAGAGGACCGGAGUGGACGCAUCACUGGUGUUCGGGUUGUCAUGCCAAUGGCACUGCCCGGUAGCUAAAUGCGGAAGAGAUAAGUGCUGAAAGCAUCUAAGCACGAAACUUGCCCCGA